rnacentral:lncRNA from 1 species
AUGAGCCUUGUCUGCAUCUCCCGCAUUUGGUCUUGCAGCGAGAACUGUUCUAGUAGAGCACUUACGUUUUCUCUUUUGUCCAGUGAGCAUUGGGUCUCUCAGUGGACACAGUGUGAGAAAUCUCCCGGUCAAGCUUUCAUUUCCCUCUUUCCCAUUUUCUCUUUCUGUCCAGCGAGUAUUUGGUCUCACAGCGGACGCAGUGAGAACUUUCCCGGUAGAGCACUUACCUUUUCUCUUCCGUCCAGUGAGUAUUGGGUCUCACAGCGGACGCAGUGUGAGAAAAUCUCCCGGUCAAGCUCUCAUUAUCUCUUUUUCCUGUUUUCUCUUUCUGUCCAGCGAGCAUUUGGUCUCACAGCAGACUCAGCGAGAACUUUCCCGGUAGAGCACUUACGUUUUCUCUUUCGUCCAGCGAGCAUUGGGUCUCACAGCAGACGCAGUGUGAGAAAAUCUCCCGGUCAAGCUCUCAUUUCCCUCUUUCCUGUUUUUUCUUUCUGUCCAGCGAGCAUUUGGUCUCACAGCGGACGCAGCGAGAACUUUCCCGGUAGAACACUUACGUUUUCUCUUCCGUCCAGUGAGUAUUGGGUCUCACAGCGGACGCAGUGUGAGAAAAUCUCCCGGUCAAGCUCUCAUUUUCCCUCUUUCCUGUUUUCUCUUUCUGUCCAGCGAGCAUUUGGUCUCACAGCGGACGCACCGAGAACUUUCCCGGUAGAGCACUUACGUUUUCUCUUUCGUCCAGUGAGUAUUGGGUCUCACAGCGGACGCAGUGUGAGAAAAUCUCCCGGUCAAGCUCUCAUUUUCCCUCUUUCCUGUUUUCUCUUUCUGUCCAGCGAGCAUUUGGUCUCACAGCGGACGCAGUGUGAGAAAAUCUCCCGGUCAAGCUCUCAUUUUCCCUCUUUCCUGUUUUCUCUUUCUGUCCAGCGAGCAUUUGGUCUCACAGCGGACGCACCGAGAACUUUCCCGGUAGAGCACUUACGUUUUCUCUUUCGUCCAGUGAGUAUUGGGUCUCACAGCGGACGCAGUGUGAGAAAAUCUCCCGGUCAAGCUCUCAUUUUCCCUCUUUCCUGUUUUCUCUUUCUGUCCAGCGAGCAUUUGGUCUCACAGCGGACGCACCGAGAACUUUCCCGGUAG